GCUACUGGAAAAUUGUUUAGAAGGUUAUACAAAGAAGAUUUGGAGUUAUUGGAGUAAUGAAGAUUUAGAAUUGCUCUUGAUGAUUGUGUUUACGUCACUUACAACAGAAAGAAUACGAAGAGUUGCAUCAAGUAGCUACCCUCUACUCAUUGGAUCUUAACAGAGAUGGAGAUAAUACAAUUCUUAUUAAAACAAGGCAUACAACUCAAGCUAUAAAUAUUGAUCCUGCAGUAAGUAGGUCAUUUGUAGGAGAUAUUAAAAGAAGACGGAGGACUCCUCCUGUUGGGCCAGUUGUUCAAGGUUUUGUUGGUGAAACAUCAGGGCCAAUUCCAGAAUCAAAUCUUGGAAAUAUAAUGUUGAAAAAUAUGGGUUGGGAACCAGGAAGCGGAUUAGGUAAAGACGGACAAGGGAUUCAAAUGCCGCUUACUGUAUAUAUUCGAUCUAAACAUUACGGACUGGGAUACGGCUCAUCCGGACAAUCGAUAACGUUAACACCUCCUCCUCCACCUCCACCUUCUCCGCAACCAAAUUCCAGCGGCGACACCAUUCCCGAAUUCUUGGAGAUUGCAAUGCCAAAUUCACCUAACGAUACAGAAGUGUUCCAUCUUAACGAAAAUCUCGAAAAUGAGAACAUUGGAGAUUGACAACCGUUACACUAAUAAACAUGCAAAUCUACUUGGAUUAUUUUCAUCAGUACUUUGCUUGAUAAUUGAUAUCUAUUUUUGCAAAGAAGUGUGCAUGUUAUAAUUUACAGACUGUAUUCUAGGACAAGAUAAGUGACCCAGGAAUUUCAAAAUGAAAAAA